rnacentral:rRNA from 1 species
UAACACGUAAGUAAUCUACCUUCGAGUGGGGAAUAACAUCGGGAAACCGAUGCUAAUACCGCAUAAUGCAGCGGCAUCGCAAGAUGACAGUUGUUAAAGAUUUAUCGCUUGAAGAGGAGCUUGCGGCAGAUUAGCUAGUUGGUAAGGUAAUGGCUUACCAAGGCUACGAUCUGUAACCGGUCUAAGAGGACGGUCGGUCACACUGACACUGAAUAACGGGUCAG